rnacentral:rRNA from 1 species
UACGAAGGGGGCUAGCGUUGCUCGGAAUUACUGGGCGUAAAGGGUGCGUAGGCGGGUCUUUAAGUCAGGGGUGAAAUCCUGGAGCUCAACUCCAGAACUGCCUUUGAUACUGAAGAUCUUGAGUUCGGGAGAGGUGAGUGGAACUGCGAGUGUAGAGGUGAAAUUCGUAGAUAUUCGCAAGAACACCAGUGGCGAAGGCGGCUCACUGGCCCGAUACUGACGCUGAGGUACGAAAGCGUGGGGAGCAAACAGG